CCCUCUUUCACAACAAAUCGUAUUGUGCGCUUCAAACAAAGAAGACAAACAGGAUUCGAAGAUCAAGACUCAGCUCAAAUCAGUUAUAUAUGGAGUGGCCAAGAUGGUUAACAAGUGUUGUGCCCCCGGGUGCAACAGUGGCUACAAUUCCACCAAGCACAAGGACACGGGGGGGAUUCCUUACCACAAGUUUCCCAAGGAUCCUCCUCUCCAACAGAGAUGGAUACGAUGCGUUCCAUGGGACAAUUAGGAACCAACUCAAAAUUCAGCACUCUGCAGCAAACACUUCGUCAACACUGAUUAUCAGACAAAGUACUUGGGCUCAAAUACCACUCGCGCCAAAAUAAAAAAGACAUCAACAUCCAACUCAAAAUUCUUUGAAAAGAGGCCAUUCCUUCUCAGUUUCCACAAUUGGCGUCCUACUAUAGCCGUCUUCCAAGUGCUCCACGUCAGAGGUUACUCAGAGUUCAAGUUGGAGGCCAAAAGAGAUCAAAAUGGUCGAACUUGCUGCUGCCAUGUUUCUUCAACAGGAUAAAAUCAAACACUCUCGGAACUCAAGUCAAAACUGGAGUGGCCUUCUCUCUCAAGUGGAACUUGUAACAUCCUGCAGUCCUAUGAUCGACUGAUGUUGGUUUUCAUUUAGACAAAUGAACUUUUGAUGCCGAAAAUAC